AUUGAACGCUGGCGGCAUGCCUUACACAUGCAAGUCGAACGGUAACAGGUUAAGCUGACGAGUGGCGAACGGGUGAGUAAUGUAUCGGAACGUGCCCAGUCGUGGGGGAUAACUGCUCGAAAGAGCAGCUAAUACCGCAUACGACCUGAGGGUGAAAGCGGGGGAUCGCAAGACCUCGCGCGAUUGGAGCGGCCGAUAUCAGAUUAGGUAGUUGGUGGGGUAAAGGCUCACCAAGCCAACGAUCUGUAGCUGGUCUGAGAGGACGACCAGCCACACUGGGACUAAGACACGGCCCAGACUCCUACGGGAGGCAGCAGUGGGGAAUUUUGGACAAUGAGCGCAAGCCUGAUCCAGCCAUGCCGCGUGCGGGAAGAAGGCCUUCGGGUUGUAAACCGCUUUUGUCAGGGAAGAAAAGGUUCUGGCUAAUACCUGGGACUCAUGACGGUACCUGAAGAAUAAGCACCGGCUAACUACGUGCCAGCAGCCGCGGUAAUACGUAGGGUGCAAGCGUUAAUCGGAAUUACUGGGCGUAAAGCGUGCGCAGGCGGUUAUGCAAGACAGAGGUGAAAUCCCCGGGCUCAACCUGGGAACUGCCUUUGUGACUGCAUAGCUAGAGUGCGGCAGAGGGGGAUGGAAUUCCGCGUGUAGCAGUGAAAUGCGUAGAUAUGCGGAGGAACACCGAUGGCGAAGGCAAUCCCCUGGGCCUGCACUGACGCUCAUGCACGAAAGCGUGGGGAGCAAACAGGAUUAGACACCCUGGUAGUCCACGCCCUAAACGAUGUCAACUGGUUGUUGGGAGGGUUUCUUCUCAGUAACGUAGCUAACGCGUGAAGUUGACCGCCUGGGGAGUACGGCCGCAAGGUUGAAACUCAAAGGAAUUGACGGGGACCCGCACAAGCGGUGGAUGAUGUGGUUUAAUUCGAUGCAACGCGAAAAACCUUACCUACCCUUGACAUGUCUGGAAUCCUGAAGAGAUUUGGGAGUGCUCGAAAGAGAGCCAGAACACAGGUGCUGCAUGGCCGUCGUCAGCUCGUGUCGUGAGAUGUUGGGUUAAGUCCCGCAACGAGCGCAACCCUUGUCAUUAGUUGCUACGAAAGGGCACUCUAAUGAGACUGCCGGUGACAAACCGGAGGAAGGUGGGGAUGACGUCAGGUCAUCAUGGCCCUUAUGGGUAGGGCUACACACGUCAUACAAUGGCCGGGACAGAGGGCUGCCAACCCGCGAGGGGGAGCUAAUCCCAGAAACCCGGUCGUAGUCCGGAUCGUAGUCUGCAACUCGACUGCGUGAAGUCGGAAUCGCUAGUAAUCGCGGAUCAGCUUGCCGCGGUGAAUACGUUCCCGGGUCUUGUACACACCGCCCGUCACACCAUGGGAGCGGGUUCUGCCAGAAGUAGUUAGCCUAACCGCAAGGAGGGCGAUUACCACGGCAGGGUUCGU
rnacentral:rRNA from 1 species